UGGGGAAUAUUGCACAAUGGGCGCAAGCCUGAUGCAGCCAUGCCGCGUGUGUGAAGAAGGCCUUCGGGUUGUAAAGCACUUUCAGCGAGGAGGAAGGUGGUGAGCUUAAUACGCUCAUCAAUUGACGUUACUCGCAGAAGAAGCACCGGCUAACUCCGUGCCAGCAGCCGCGGUAAUACGGAGGGUGCAAGCGUUAAUCGGAAUUACUGGGCGUAAAGCGCACGCAGGCGGUUUGUUAAGUCAGAUGUGAAAUCCCCGGGCUCAACCUGGGAACUGCAUUUGAAACUGGCAAGCUAGAGUCUCGUAGAGGGGGGUAGAAUUCCAGGUGUAGCGGUGAAAUGCGUAGAGAUCUGGAGGAAUACCGGUGGCGAAGGCGGCCCCCUGGACGAAGACUGACGCUCAGGUGCGAAAGCGUGGGGCAGCAAACAGGAUUAGAUACCCUGGUAGUCCACGCUGUAAACGAUGUCGAUUUUGGAGGUUGUGCCCUUGAGGCGUGGCUUCCGGAGCUAACGCGUUAAAUCGACCGCCUGGGGAGUACGGCCGCAAGGUUAAAACUCAAAUGAAUUGACGGGGUCAUAGCUGUUCC
rnacentral:rRNA from 1 species